GGCUCCUCGUGAAAACUAGAUGGGGAGUCGGACCUGCCCGGUGAAUUUUUUUAACGGCCGCGGUACUCUGACCGUGCAAAGGUAGCAUAAUCAUUUGCCUUAUAAUUGAAGGCUGGUAUGAAUGGUUUGACAAGAAUAUAACUGUCUCUGUAUGAUUUUACAGAAUUUUAUAUCUAGGUGAAGAAGCCUAGUUACCAUUAAAAGACAAGAAGACCCUAUCGAGCUUUAAAAAAAUUAAUAGACUAUUUUAUAAAUAUAAUUAAAAAUUUUUCUAUUAAAGAUUUUAGUUGGGGCGACUGAGGAACAAAAAAAGCUUCCUUUAAAAAUAUUAAUAUCUUACAAGUAAUGAUCCAAAGAUUUUGAUUAAGGGAAUUAGUUACCGUAGGGAUAACAGCAUUAUCUUUUUUAAGAGUUCUUAUCGAAAAAAAGGUUUGUGACCUCGAUGUUGGACCAGAAUGUCCUAAAGAUGCAGCAGUCUUUAAGGGUUGGUCUGUUCGACCAUUAAAAUUCUACG
rnacentral:rRNA from 1 species